rnacentral:rRNA from 1 species
GCCAGUGGCGAUAGCACGUUAAAUACACCAGUUCCAAAUGGUUCACAGAAGUAAGCAACGUUGCGCGUGGUUAGUAUCUGAACAGGUGACCAUCUGAGCAAUGCCGUCUUUUUCCAGCC